AUUGAACGCUGGCGGCAGGCCUAACACAUGCAAGUCGAGCGGCAGCGCGGGGCAACCUGGCGGCGAGCGGCGAACGGGUGAGUAACGCGUAGGAAUCUACCCAGUAGCGGGGGAUAGCCCGGGGAAACUCGGAUUAAUACCGCAUACGCCCUAAGGGGGAAAGCAGGGGAUCGCAAGACCUUGCACUAUUGGAAGAGCCUGCGUUGGAUUAGCUAGUUGGUAGGGUAAAGGCCUACCAAGGCGACGAUCCAUAGCUGGUCUGAGAGGAUGAUCAGCCACACCGGAACUGAGACACGGUCCGGACUCCUACGGGAGGCAGCAGUGGGGAAUAUUGGACAAUGGGGGCAACCCUGAUCCAGCCAUGCCGCGUGUGUGAAGAAGGCCUUCGGGUUGUAAAGCACUUUAAGUGGGGAGAAAGGCUCCUUGGCUAACAUCCAAGGGGAUUGAUGCUACCCGCAGAAUAAGCACCGGCUAACUCUGUGCC
rnacentral:rRNA from 1 species